GUACCAGUUGUCUAGUGGUAGAAUAAUACCCUGCCACGAUAUAGAGCCGGGUUUAAUUCCCAGCUGGUGUA
rnacentral:tRNA from 1 species